AACGUAGGUGGCGAGCGUUAUCCGGAUUUACUGGGCGUAAAGGGUGUGCAGGCGGGGUAUCAAGUGGUGUAUGAAAGGGCGCGGCUCAACCGCGCUAGGUUAUGCCAGACUGAUGCUCUUGAGGACCAAACAGGGCUGUGGAAUUCCGGGUGUAGUGGUGAAAUGCGUAGAGAUCCGGAGGAACACCGACGGCGUAGGCAGCGCCCUGGACGACACCUGACGCUGAGGCACGAAAGCUGGGGGGAGCGAACAGG
rnacentral:rRNA from 1 species